AUACGUAGGUGGCAAGCGUUAUCCGGAAUUAUUGGGCGUAAAGAGUGAGCAGGCGGUUAAUUAAGUCUGAGGUUAAAGCGUGGGGCUCAACCCCAUAAAGCCUUGGAAACUGAUUGACUAGAGUAAGGGAGAAGUGAAGGGAACUCCAUGUGUAGCGGUGAAAUGCGUAGAUAUAUGGAAGAACACCAGUGGCGAAGGCGCUCCACUAGCCCGAAACUUACGCUCAGUCACGAAAGCGUGGGUAGCAAAUAGGAUUAGAUACCCUAGUAGUCCACGCUGUAAACGAUGACAACUAAAUAUUGCCGCGAGGCAGUGUUGAAGCUAACGCAUUAAGUUGUCCGCCUGGGGAGUACGGUCGCAAGACUGAAACUUAAAGGAAUUGACGGGU
rnacentral:rRNA from 1 species